rnacentral:rRNA from 1 species
GACGAACCGUCCAAACGUUAUUCGGAAUCACUGGGCUUAAAGGGCGCGUAGGCGGCCGAGCGGGUCACGGGUGAAAUCCUCCAGCUUAACUGGAGAACUGCCCUUGAUACCACUGCGGCUCGAGGAAGGAAGGGGCAAUUGGAACUGUCGGUGGAGCGGUGAAAUGCGUUGAUAUCGACAGGAACGCCUGUGGCGAAAGCGAAUUGCUGGUCCUUUUCUGACGCUGAUGCGCGAAAGCCAGGGGAGCAAACGGG